rnacentral:lncRNA from 1 species
UUUUAAUGAGGGCGUCAUAUAUAUGUAUAUAUAUGUAUAAUAUAAUAUAUAAUAUAUAGAGAGAAAUGCAUCUGCUGAAUAAAAUACAAAAUAUUUUCCCUUAAAUGUUGUGUGAAUUAUUCAGGAGGAGAGUGCCUUUGACAGGGACACGUGAGGGAUUCAUGCUGCUGGUAGCAUGCCUGGUCCUUGGGUAACUGCGUGGCUCUGAGCUCUGUUUGCCAGCACCACAGCUUCUCUGCAGCCUGGUUUAGGAGCACUUGUCCCCAGCUGCCAUGCCCAGCCACCAACCUGAAAGCACUUUGGACACUGACAUCUUCACCUACCAAGCCUUGCCACCCCAUCCUGCCUGCUCUGAUGCCAGCCACUGCUGAAUGUUGUUACGACCUUCAGUACCUUUCCUGUGUCUUUUAAGGAUUUCCUCAGCCAGGGAACACAUUCGUUGUUUUAAGAGUAACUGAAGUUCAAUAGAAUAUCUCACGCAUAUUAUUAAGAACCAUCUUCUGUUGUAUAUUAGCAUGAGAAGAACACCCAUGAAAAUCAGUGGGUGGAGGGGUGUACUACAUUACAUAUAUGCUUUUCCUCUGAGCUAUUCCCGUGCAGUAGAAGAGGAGCUCCUGUAAAGCCUGAGAAACCAGAUUGGUAUGGAAAUCAGUGUGAAAUCAGAAUUGGGUUAUUUGGCCCCGAGUUUGAAAGAAAAGCCUACCUUCCUAGGAAAUAACCAAUAAUUAAUUCUACAUUCCGCACGCGUUAAUUGAUUCUUAAAUCAAAAUUUCUGGUAGCUUCUGCUUCUAAAUCAAAUUCUUAUGUUAUUUCUUUAUUGCAACUGUUAUACUGGAUUGUCCACUCAUUUUUAUAUCAUGUGAAUCAGUGGAAACUGAUUCAGAGGAAUGGUGCUGAUUUAUAGUGUAUGUAAGUGAGAGGAUAUUCAGGCGUACUAAAGCUUCAGUACUGCAAAUGCAUAAGCAGGUAUUGAAUUACUAAUGCUAAUGGAAUUACUCACGUGAGUAAAGUUAAGCGUGGAUGUAAGUGUUUUCAGGAUUGAUGUCUGUACUUAGGAAUUUAUAUCAUUU